CGCGUAGGCGGUUUGUACAGUCAGAAGUGAAAUUCCUGGGCUCAACCUGGGGACUGCUUUUGAUACGUGCAGACUUGAGUGAGGAAGAGGGUUGUGGAAUUUCCAGUGUAGAGGUGAAAUUCGUAGAUAUUGGAAAGAACACCGGUGGCGAAGGCGGCAACCUGGUCCUUUACUGACGCUGAGGCGCGAAAGCGUGGGGAGCAAACAGGAUUAGAUACCCUGGUAGUCCACGCUGUAAACGAUGUGUGCUGGAUGCUGGGGAACUUAGUUCUCAGUGUCGUAGCUAACGCGAUAAGCACACCGCCUGGGGAGUACGGCCGCAAGGUUGAA
rnacentral:rRNA from 1 species